AUCUAGCUAAUGAGUUCCGAAUGGAACGAAACGCGUGUCCUAGAU
rnacentral:hammerhead_ribozyme from 1 species